rnacentral:rRNA from 1 species
GUGGAUUAGAUACCCUGGUAGUCCUAGCUGUAAACGAUGGGUACUAGGUGUUGACCGUAUCGACCCGGUCAGUGCCGUAGCUAACGCGUUAAGUACCCCGCCUGGGGAGUAUGCACGCAAGUGUGAAACUCAAAGGAAUUGACGGGGGCCCGCACAAGCGGUGGAGUAUGUGGUUUAAUUCGAUGCAACGCGAAGAACCUUACCAGGGCUUGACAUGUCGCGAAUCUCGGUGAAAGUCGAGAGUGCCUUCGGGAGCGCGAACACAGGUGGAGCACGGCCGUCGCCAGCU